CUUGUUGGCGGGGUAACGGCCCACCAAGGCAACGAUCAGUAGGGGUUCUGAGAGGAAGGUCCCCCACAUUGGAACUGAGACACGGUCCAAACUCCUACGGGAGGCAGCAGUGAGGAAUAUUGGUCAAUGGGCGAGAGCCUGAACCAGCCAAGUAGCGUGCAGGACGACGGCCCUAUGGGUUGUAAACUGCUUUUAUAAGGGAAUAAAGUGAGUCUCGUGAGACUUUUUGCAUGUACCUUAUGAAUAAGGACCGGCUAAUUCCGUGCCAGCAGCCGCGGUAAUACGGAAGGUCCGGGCGUUAUCCGGAUUUAUUGGGUUUAAAGGGAGCGUAGGCCGGAGAUUAAGCGCGUUGUGAAAUGUAGACGCUCAACGUCUGCACUGCAGCGCGAACUGGUUUCCUUGAGUACGCACAAAGUGGGCGGAAUCCGUGGUGUAGCGGUGAAAUGCUUAGAUAUCACGAAGAACUCCGAUUGCGAAGGCAGCUCACUGGAGCGCAACUGACGCUGAAGCUCGAAAGUGCGGGUAUCGAACAGGAUUAGAUACCCUGGUAGUCCGCACGGUAAACGAUGGAUGCCCGCUGUUGGUCUGAAUAGGUCAGCGGCCAAGCGAAAACAUUAAGCAUCCCACCUGGGGAGUACGCCGGCAACGGUGAAACUCAAAGGAAUUGACGGGGGCCCGCACAAGCGGAGGAACAUGUGGUUUAAUUCGAUGAUACGCGAGGAACCUUACCCGGGCUUGAAUUGCAGAGGAAGGAUUUGGAGACAAUGACGCCCUUCGGGGUCUCUGUGAAGGUGCUGCAUGGUUGUCGUCAGCUCGUGCCGUGAGGUGUCGGCUUAAGUGCCAUAACGAGCGCAACCCCUCUCCUUAGUUGCCAUCAGGUCAUGCUGGGCACUCUGGGGACACUGCCACCGUAAGGUGUGAGGAAGGUGGGGAUGACGUCAAAUCAGCACGGCCCUUACGUCCGGGGCUACACACGUGUUACAAUGGCAGGUACAGAGAGACGGUCCCUUGCAAAAGGGAUCAAAUCCUCAAAGCCUGUCUCAGUUCGGACUGGGGUCUGCAACCCGACCCCACGAAGCUGGAUUCGCUAGUAAUCGCGCAUCAGCCAUGGCGCGGUGAAUACGUUCCCGGGCCUUGUACACACCGCCCGUCAAGCCAUGAAAGCCGGGGGCGCCUAAAGUCCGUGACCGUAAGGAGCGGCCUAGGGCGAAACUGGUAAUUGGGGCUAAGUCGUAACAAGGUA
rnacentral:rRNA from 1 species